rnacentral:rRNA from 1 species
AGAAUGAACGUUGGCGGCGUGGAUUAGGCAUGCAAGUCGCGCGGAAAGGCCCCUUCGGGGGUACUCGAGCGGCGGAAGGGAGAGUAACGCGUGGGUAACAUACCCCUGGGACUGGGAUAGCUAAGGGAAACUUUAGGUAAUACCAGAUAACGUCCCCGGACCAAAGGUGGAAUUCCGCCUAGGGAUCGGCCCGCGUCCUACUAGCUUGUUGGUGAGGUAAUGGCUCACCAAGGCUCCGAUGGGUACCGGGUGUGAGAGCAUGGCCCGGCUCACUGGGACUGAGACACUGCCCAGACACCUACGGGUGGCUGCAGUCGAGAAUCUUCUACAAUGGACGAAAGUCUGAUAGAGCGACGCCGCGUGCGGGAUGACGGCCCUCGGGUUGUAAACCGCUGUCAGUUGGGAGAAAGACUUCGUGAAGAGCGAAGUUUGAUCUAUCUUCAGAGGAAGGACGGGCUAAGUUCGUGCCGGCAGCCGCGGUAAGACGAACCGUCCAAACGUUAUUCGGUAUCACUGGGCUUAAAGGGUGCGUAGGCGGCUUAGUAAGUUGGGUGUGAAAGACCUCGGCUCAACCGAGGAAUUGCGCCCAAAACUACUAAGCUUGAGGAAGGCAGAGGUAAGCGGAACUUGCGGUGGAGCGGUGAAAUGCAUUGAUAUCGCAGGGAACGCCAGUGGCGAAGGCGGCUUACUGGGCCUUUUCUGACGCUGAGGCACGAAAGCUAGGGUAGCGAACGGGAUUAGAUACCCCGGUAGUCCUAGCUGUAAACGAUGAGCACUUGAUCGAGGGAUACUCCAUAGAUUCUCGGUCGUAGCGAAAGUGUUAAGUGCUCCGCCUGGGGAGUAUGGUCGCAAGGCUG